GAUGAACGCUGGCGGCGUGCCUAAUACAUGCAAGUCGAGCGAACGGACGAGAAGCUUGCUUCUCUGAUGUUAGCGGCGGACGGGUGAGUAACACGUGGAUAACCUACCUAUAAGACUGGGAUAACUUCGGGAAACCGGAGCUAAUACCGGAUGAUAUUUUGAACCGCAUGGUUCAAAAGUGAAAGACGGUCUUGCUGUCACUUAUAGAUGGAUCCGCGCUGCAUUAGCUAGUUGGUAAGGUAACGGCUUACCAAGGCAACGAUGCAUAGCCGACCUGAGAGGGUGAUCGGCCACACUGGAACUGAGACACGGUCCAGACUCCUACGGGAGGCAGCAGUAGGGAAUCUUCCGCAAUGGGCGAAAGCCUGACGGAGCAACGCCGCGUGAGUGAUGAAGGUCUUCGGAUCGUAAAACUCUGUUAUUAGGGAAGAACAUAUGUGUAAGUAACUGUGCACAUCUUGACGGUAGCUAAUCAGAAAGCCACGGCUAACUACGUG
rnacentral:rRNA from 1 species